rnacentral:piRNA from 1 species
UGCUAAUUAGCAAAGUAGGGAACUGUACCUA